UACAGAGGUCUCAAGCGUUGUUCGGAUUUAUUGGGCGUAAAGGGCGCGUAGGCGGCCACUGCAAGUCGGUUGUGAAAUCUCCGGGCUUAACCCGGAAAGGUCAAUCGAUACUGCAGGGCUAGAGUGCAGAAGGGGCAACUGGAAUUCUCGGUGUAGCGGUGAAAUGCGUAGAUAUCGAGAGGAACACCUGCGGCGAAGGCGGGUUGCUGGGCUGACACUGACGCUGAUGCGCGAAAGCCAGGGGAGCGAACGGG
rnacentral:rRNA from 1 species